rnacentral:rRNA from 1 species
UACGGGGGGAGCAAGCGUUGUUCGGAUUUACUGGGCGUAAAGGGCGCGUAGGCGGCGUGACAAGUCACUUGUGAAAUCUCCGGGCUUAACCCGGAGCGGCCAAGUGAUACUGUCAUGCUAGAGUGCGGAAGGGGCUACUGGAAUUCUCGGUGUAGCGGUGAAAUGCGUAGAUAUCGAGAGGAACACCUGCGGCGAAGGCGGCUACCUGGACAGUUACUGACGCUCAGGCACGAAAGCGUGGGGAGCAAAAGGG